rnacentral:rRNA from 1 species
AACGAACGCUGGCGGCAUGCCUAACACAUGCAAGUCGAACGAGACCUUCGGGUCUAGUGGCGCACGGGUGCGUAACGCGUGGGAACCUGCCCUUAGGUUCGGAAUAACUCCCCGAAAGGGGUGCUAAUACCGGAUAAUGUCUUCGGACCAAAGAUUUAUCGCCUUUGGAUGGGCCGGCGUUGGAUUAGCUAGUUGGUAGGGUAAAAGCCUACCAAGGCGACGAUCCAUAGCUGGUCUGAGAGGGUGAUCAGCCACACGGGGACUGAGACACGGCCCAGACUCCUACAGAAGGCAGCAGUGGGGAAUAUGGGACAAUGGGCGAAAGCCUAAGCCAGCAAUGCCGCGUGAGUGAUGAAGGCCUUAGGGUUGUAAAGCUCUUUUACCCGGGAUGAUAAUGACGGUACCGGGAGAAUAAGCACCGGCUAACUCCGUG